CCUACGGGAUGCAGCAGUGGGGAAUAUUGCACAAUGGGGGAAACCCUGAUGCAGCGACGCCGCGUGAGUGAAGAAGUAUCUCGGUACGUAAAGCUCUAUCAGCAGGGAAGAAAAUGUCGGUACCUGACUAAGAAGCCCCGGCUAACUACGUGCCAGCAGCCGCGGUAAUACGUAGGGGGCAAGCGUUAUCCGGAUUUACUGGGUGUAAAGGGAGCGUAGACGGCAGCACAAGUCUGGAGUGAAAUCCCGGGGCUUAACCCCGGAACUGCUUUGGAAACUGUUGGACUUGAGUGCAGGAGGGGCAAUCGGAAUUCCUAGUGUAGCGGUGGAAUGCGUAGAUAUUAGGAGGAACACCAGUGGCGAAGGCGGAUUGCUAGACUGUAACUGACACUGAGGCACGAAAGCGUGGGGAGCAAACAGGAUUAGAUACCCCUGUAGUC
rnacentral:rRNA from 1 species